AACCUGCCCCAUAGUCUGGGAUACCACUUGGAAACAGGUGCUAAUACCGGAUAAGAAAGCGGAUCGCAUGAUCAGCUUUUAAAAGGCGGCGUAAGCUGUCGCUAUGGGAUGGCCCCGCGGUGCAUUAGCUAGUUGGUAAGGUAAAGGCUUACCAAGGCGAUGAUGCAUAGCCGAGUUGAGAGACUGAUCGGCCACAUUGGGACUGAGACACGGCCCAAACUCCUACGGGAGGCAGCAGAC
rnacentral:rRNA from 1 species